rnacentral:rRNA from 1 species
AUCCGUUCAUCAAUCCGAAGACGUGAUGCGGACCGAAUUAAGAGUAGGGAAGUGUGUGAGCCAUGCGUCAAGAAAAGCCGCUAUUGUUUUACUUAAGCCCGUACCGUAAACCGACACAGGUGGAUGAGGAGAGAAUCCUAAGGCCGACGGGAGAAGCAUUGUUAAGGAACUCGGCAAAAUGACUCCGUAACUUCGGGAGAAGGAGUGCCAGCGAGAGCUGGCCGCAGAGAAUUGGCCCAAGCAACUGUUUAGCAAAAACACAGGUCUAUGCAAAACCGUAAGGUGAAGUAUAUGGGCUGACGCCUGCCCGGUGCUGGAAGGUUAAGAGGAGAGGUUAGCGGUAACGCGAAGCUUUGAAUUUAAGCCCCAGUAAACGGCGGCCGUAACGAUAACGGUCCUAAGGUAGCGAAAUUCCUUGUCGGGUAAGUUCCGACCCGCACGAAAGGCGUAAUGAUUUGGGCACUGUCUCAACAAUGCACCCGGUGAAAUUGAAAUACCAGUGAAGAUGCUGGUUACCUGCGCCAGGACGGAAAGACCCCAUGGAGCUUUACUCCAGCUUGAUACUGGGAUUCGGUAUUGCAUGUACAGGAUAGGUGGGAGGCUAGGAAGUGAUAACGCCAGUUGUCACGGAGCCGCUGUUGGGAUACCACCCUUGCAGUAUUGGAUUUCUAACCAGCGACCAUGAACUGGUCGGGGGACAAUGUCAGGUGGGGAGUUUGACUGGGGCGGUCGCCUCCGAAAGGGUAUCGGAGGCGCUCAAAGGUUCCCUCAGAAUGGACGGAAACCAUUCGAAGAGUGCAAAGGCAGAAGGGAGCUUGACUGCGACACCGACGGGUGGAGCAGGUACGAAAGUAGGACUUAGUGAUCCGGUGGUAUAAAGUGGGAUUGCCAUCGCUCAACGGAUAAAAGCUACCCUGGGAUAACAGGCUUAUCACUCCCAAGAGUUCACAUCGACGGAGUGGUUUGGCACCUCGAUGUCGGCUCAUCGCAUCCUGGGGCUGAAGUAGGUCCCAAGGGUUGGGCUGUUCGCCCAUUAAAGCGGUACGCGAGCUGGGUUCAGAACGUCGUGAGACAGUUCGGUCCCUAUCCGGCGUGGGCGUAGGAUAUUUGAGAGGAGCUGUCCUUAGUACGAGAGGACCGGGAUGGACUGGCCGCUGGUGUAUCUGUUGCAUACCAAAUGCAUGGCAGAGUAGCCAAACCGGGACGGGAUAAACGCUGAAGGCAUCUAAGCGUGAAGCCCCCCUCAAGAUGAGAUAUCCCUACGUAAGUAGUAAGACCCCUUGAAGACGACAAGGUAGAUAGGUCAGAGGUGGAAGUACAGUAAUGUAUGGAGCUGACUGAUACUAAUCGGUCGAGGGCAUGACCA